rnacentral:rRNA from 1 species
UACAGAGGGCCCGAGCGUUGUUCGGAUUCACUGGGCGUAAAGGGUGCGUAGGUGGCAUGGUAAGUUUGAUGUGAAAGCUCAGGGCUCAACCCUGAAAUGGCAUUGAAUACUACUGUGCUGGAGGUUUGGAGGGGGGACUGGAAUUCUUGGUGUAGCAGUGAAAUGCGUAGAUAUCAAGAGGAACACCAGUGGCGAAGGCGAGUCCCUGGACAACACCUGACACUGAGGCACGAAAGCUAGGGGAGCAAACAGG